UGAGGAAUAUUGGUCAAUGGGCGAGAGCCUGAACCAGCCAAGUAGCGUGCAGGAUGACGGCCCUAUGGGUUGUAAACUGCUUUUAUAUGGGAAUAAAGUGAGGGACGUGUCCCUUAUUGCAUGUACCAUACGAAUAAGGACCGGCUAAUUCCGUGCCAGCAGCCGCGGUAAUACGGAAGGUCCAGGCGUUAUCCGGAUUUAUUGGGUUUAAAGGGAGCGUAGGCUGUUUGUUAAGCGUGUUGUGAAAUGUAAGAGCUCAACUUUUAGAUUGCAGCGCGAACUGGCAGGCUUGAGUGCGCACAACGUAGGCGGAAUUCAUGGUGUAGCGGUGAAAUGCUUAGAUAUCAUGACGAACUCCGAUUGCGAAGGCAGCUUACGGGAGCGCAACUGACGCUAAAGCUCGAAGGUGCGGGUAUCGAACAGG
rnacentral:rRNA from 1 species